rnacentral:rRNA from 1 species
GUGGGGAAUAUUGGACAAUGGGGGGAACCCUGAUCCAGCCAUGCCGCGUGUGUGAAGAAGGCCUUUUGGUUGUAAAGCACUUUAAGCGAGGAGGAGGCUACCGAGAUUAAUACUCUUGGAUAGUGGACGUUACUCGCAGAAUAAGCACCGGCUAACUCUGUGCCAGCAGCCGCGGUAAUACAGAGGGUGCAAGCGUUAAUCGGAUUUACUGGGCGUAAAGAGCGCGUAGGUGGCCAAUUAAGUCAAAUGUGAAAUCCCCGAGCUUAACUUGGGAAUUGCAUUCGAUACUGGUUGGCUAGAGUAUGGGAGAGGAUGGUAGAAUUCCAGGUGUAGCGGUGAAAUGCGUAGAGAUCUGGAGGAAUACCGAUGGCGAAGGCAGCCAUCUGGCCUAAUACUGACACUGAGGUGCGAAAGCAUGGGGAGCAAACAGGAUUAGAAACCCGGGUAGUCC